rnacentral:lncRNA from 1 species
UUUUGAAUUGUUUAAUAAUUUUAUAAAUUUCAUUCUGUAAGCUAUAGCAAAAAUUAGGUCAUUCUGUGUGGGCACCGUUACUUGUUAACUUCCAAGUGGAAAGUCGACACGUGAGAUUCCAAGUGGUAGCGAUAUUCACACGUGGCAGUCGGAGUUAUGGGACCCAUAUAAUCGCCACAGAAAGUAACGAAUUGAUGACGUGGAAAUGGAUGGCUGGGUGGGUGUGGGAAAAAAGCUUUACGUUUU